GAUGAACGCUGGCGGCGUGCUUAACACAUGCAAGUCGAACGGAAAGGCCCAAGCUUGCUUGGGUACUCGAGUGGCGAACGGGUGAGUAACACGUGGGUGAUCUGCCCUGCACUUCGGGAUAAGCCUGGGAAACUGGGUCUAAUACCGGAUAGGACGAUGGUUUGGAUGCCAUUGUGGAAAGUUUUUUCGGUGUGGGAUGAGCUCGCGGCCUAUCAGCUUGUUGGUGGGGUAAUGGCCUACCAAGGCGUCGACGGGUAGCCGGCCUGAGAGGGUGUACGGCGACAUUGGGGCUGAGAUACGGCCCAGACACCUACGGGAGGCAGCAGUGGGGAAUAUUGCACAAUGGGCGCAAGCCUGAUGCAGAGACGCCGCGUGGGGGAUGACGGCCUUCGGGGUGUAAACUCCUUUCGCUAGGGACGAAGCGUGUGUGUGACGGUACCUGGAGAAGAAGCACCGGCUAACUACGUG
rnacentral:rRNA from 1 species